rnacentral:lncRNA from 1 species
CGCGUGUUUGUUGAGUUUCUAAUGGGCACACCCCGGUGUUAAUAUUAACUCCUUGGCCUGAACCAGAAGGAUAAGGCGUCUCUCUGGGAGUCUUGGACAAGAAGAGAGAGAGAGAGAGAGAGAGAGAGAGAGAGAGAAAGAGAGAGAUGAACUAAUAAAAGGGAACCAGAUGAUACAAUGGCCCCCUCCUCGUCUUUCCUCACAUGGUAAUUUAUCCUAAGUUUUUGGGGCAGCGUUGCCUCCGUGGCUCGGGCCUGAAGGAGGCACGCGCCGCCCUCUCACCGUCACAUAAUGGACGUCCUUCGUCCCAUGCAAAUCCGCGGCCGGCAGAACCCCGGCCACUGUCGCUCCACUGGCGGCGAUGGGAUCAACGGCGGGGGUCUUCCUCGCCAAGGCGAAUUCAGCGGCAGUCAAGACAAGAACAAACGUUACCCAGAGCCGAAGAGCCAUAGAGGAAGGAGCUGACGUUCUGUAUGGGGGCGAUGGGAGCUAUAGAGCAAGGUGGGCUUCGGCUCUGAGUCUUCCUCCA